rnacentral:rRNA from 1 species
AUGCCCAGUAACGGCGAGUGAAGCGGCAAGAGCUCAAAUUUGAAAUCUGGCCCCUCCGGGGUCCGAGUUGUAAUUUGCAGAGGAUGCUUCGGGUGCGGCCCCUGUCUAAGUGCCCUGGAACGGGCCGUCAGAGAGGGUGAGAAUCCCGUCUUGGGCAGGGUGCCCGUGCCCGUGUGAAGCUCCUUCGACGAGUCGAGUUGUUUGGGAAUGCAGCUCUAAAUGGGUGGUAAAUUUCAUCUAAAGCUAAAUACCGGCCGGAGACCGAUAGCGCACAAGUAGAGUGAUCGAAAGAUGAAAAGCACUUUGAAAAGAGAGUUAAACAGCACGUGAAAUUGUUGAAAGGGAAGCGCUUGCGACCAGACUCGGCCCCGGGGUUCAGCCAGCACUCGUGCUGGUGUACUUCCCCGGGGGCGGGCCAGCGUCGGUUUGGGCGGCCGGUCAAAGGCCCCAGGAAUGUGUCGCCCUCCGGGGCGUCUUAUAGCCUGGGGGUGCAAUGCGGCCAGCCCGGACCGAGGAACGCGCUUCGGCACGGACGCUGGCGUAAUGGUCGCAAACGACCCGUCUUGAAACACGGACCAAGGAGUCUAACAUCUACGCGAGUGUUCGGGUGUCAAACCCGUACGCGCAGUGAAAGCGAACGGAGGUGGGAGCCCCUCACGGGGCGCACCAUCGACCGAUCCUGAUGUCUUCGGAUGGAUUUGAGUAAGAGCGUAGCUGUGGGGACCCGAAAGAUGGUGAACUAUGCCUGAAUAGGGCGAAGCCAGAGGAAA